rnacentral:rRNA from 1 species
UACGGAGGGUGCGAGCGUUGUCCGGAAUCACUGGGCGUAAAGGGCGCGUAGGCGGCCUGAUAAGUCGGGGGUGAAAUCCUGCGGCUUAACCGCAGGGCUGCCUUCUAAACUGUCAGGCUCGAGCACAGUAGAGGCAGGUGGAAUUCCCGGUGUAGCGGUGGAAUGCGUAGAGAUCGGGAGGAACACCGGUGGCGAAGGCGGUUCUCUGGGCCUUACCUGACGCUGAGGAGCGAAAGCGUGGGGAGCGAACAGG